UUGUAGUGAUGAUAAAACUUAGGACACCUUAUGAUUAUCACCAUGAUAUCAACACACACAUCGUAAUCUGAACAAA